UGUAAGUUACGACCUUAUGUUUUGAAAACAACAUUUAAGUUAAAACAGGCGAGAAUUUUGCUGUAUCUAUUUAGUAAGUUAUUGUUUCUGUUUAUAAAUUAUUCUUUUUUGCAAGUUAUUAAUAAAAGUAAUUUUUUCCAUGGAAUCUUGGGUGACUUCAUUAAAACAAUGGUUUAGUGAAAAUGAGUUACACUUUCACCUCGUAAUUAGGGCGAGGCCAAUAUCGGAGCGAGGAAGGCGGGGUCCGAACUCAGGUGGAGGUGCAGGUGUAACUGCAUUCUCCACAAUCCUUUCCUAUUCUCAAUGUAACUGUAAUUGUGGGGAUGAUGAUACUGUGGAACACAUUGUCUUUG
rnacentral:lncRNA from 1 species